GUCAUUUAUUAGAUCAAUUAAAAGUCUGGUGUGUUAAAUAAUCUGGUUUAAAGUGUUUAUCUACAAAGCCUUGUUUUGUGCAGUUUAAAAUAAUCAAUACACUCAUAACCCAAUAGUCAGGUGACAGUGUACAUAGUGACACUGUUUACUCCUAUCAUACAAACGCCAUUUGACGGUUAACUUGGUUGCUGUUCAGUUUGAAAUUUCGUAUUACUUGCCUGUUUUUAAUAACAUUGUUUGUGUGUUUUCUGUGAUAUUCAUUGUAGACAUGCGUGUACAUAAUUAUUACAAUUGAUUUAAGAUUGUAAAAUCCUGUUUGUUGAAAGGGAAUUAUCAAAAUGGCGACAUCUGCAAUUUCAAGACAUUCACACAAAAAUGAAAAAUUAACAGCAUUGUGUAAUAGCCAUAGUGAGUUGUGCUGCUCCAGAUCUGUUGAGCUUAAUCACAGAUCCUGAUUUAUACUGUAGGAUUAACUGCUAUUUGAAUUUUCGUCUGCAUGUAUUUCAUAAAGGACUGAAAAGCAUUCCUACAUUAUUAAAAGAAGUGAACUGUGAACUGUCUUAUUUAUGAUGUCUUGUUUAUUGGAAUACAACACAGCCGUAACCAUCCGGGUUACAGUAUUAUAGACUAUUUUAACAGAAUUAUACUUCAACUACAUGUACUUUAACAUGUAAAACUUCAUACACUAGAGUAUCAAAAUUGGCGACAGGUUCAUUUCUAAUGUUUUGAAACGUUGGCCUAUGGUUGAAAAGUUUUAUCGCACAUCUUGUGUUUGAAUUUAUCUGUGUUUCAGUGUUAAUUUUAACUUCUAAGGUUGAUAAACUAUUGGAACUAGCUUUAUUUCUUUUAUAUUUCACAAGACAUAUACUUGAACGAUUUGAACAAAAAGGUUUUAACAUUAUAAACAGUAACAAAAUGGCAACAGGUUCAUUGUCUUCGGUUCCAAAACGUUUGCGUAUGGUUGAAGACUUUUCUUGCACAUGUUGUUUAGAGCAGAAUCUUACGGAAUCUGCAGACAUUUAUUGUGAUCAAUGUUUAAGGUUUUAUUGUAAAAAAUGUGUUAUCCUGCAUAGUCAGUUGUUUGCAAAACAUAUGACAUGUGGAAGGGAGGAUAUUAAGAAAUGGCCAGUUUCUAAGGCGGUGGAAGAUUUUCUCAGGAAGUGUGAGGUGCAUGCGGAUGAAUCACUGACACAGUUUUGCCAUGACCACGGUCAGCUGUGCUGCUCUGCAUGUGUUGGAACAAUUCACAGCCAGUGCAGUAAAGUGACUCCAAUUAAUGAGCUGACCAACACGCAGCCCACAUACCUACAGGGACUGUUAGUGGAGCUGGAAACUGUCCUGGUAGAAAUCAAAAACCUUCAGAUCAGUCAGGAGGCCAGCGUUAAGUCAUUGCAGGGAACAUACAAGGAACAUGGGGCACUCAUGAUAGAACAAAUGCGUGGCAAUUUAAAUACUAAUAUUGAUGAGUGUGGUAAAAGUUCUGUGGGUACAUCAGGAAAAAGUGAGCAAUAUUUAAAAAAAGAAAUGUGUAGGAGUGUUGUUUCUAUCGUGAAUGAAUUCGAUAAUAUUACUGCGAAGGAACUUAACGAGAUGAAAGCUGAGGUUUUAAGCAUUAAAGGGUCAGUUACAAGUUCUAUUCAUAAAUGCACCAGUGUUCACAAUGUCUUGUCACAAUUCCAUGAAAUUGUUCAGAAAAUUGGAGAUCAUUUGCAGCUCUGCCUUAUAGCCAGCAUAAAAUGUAAGCAUAUAAUACAACAGGCACUGACUCUGCUGGGAAAGUCAG